rnacentral:rRNA from 1 species
UACCAGCACCCCGAGUGGUCGGGACGUUUAUUGGGCCUAAAGCAUCCGUAGCCGGUUCUACAAGUCUUCCGUUAAAUCCAACUGCUUAACAGGUGGGCUGCGGAAGAUACUAUAGAGCUAGGAGGCGGGAGAAGCAAGCGGUACUCGAUGGGUAGGGGUAAAAUCCGUUGAUCCAUUGAAGACCACCAGUGGCGAAGGCGGCUCACUGGCCCGGUACUGACGCUGAGGCACGAAAGCGUGGGGAGCAACAGG